rnacentral:rRNA from 1 species
UACGUAGGUGACAAGCGUUGUCCGGAUUUACUGGGCGUAAAGAGCGCGCAGGCGGUCGAUCAAGUCGAGUGUGAAAGCCCCCGGCUCAACUGGGGAGGGUCAUUCGAUACUGAUCGACUCGAAGGCAGGAGAGGGUAGUGGAAUUCCCGGUGUAGUGGUGAAAUGCGUAGAUAUCGGGAGGAACACCAGUGGCGAAGGCGGAUCUCUGGGCCAUUACUGACGCUGAGACGCGAAAGCGUGGGGAGCGAACAGG